rnacentral:rRNA from 1 species
AACGACUCUCGGCAACGGAUAUCUCGGCUCACGCAUCGAUGAAGAACGUAGCAAAAUGCGAUACUUGGUGUGAAUUGCAGAAUCCCGUGAACCAUCGAGUUUUUGAACGCAAGUUGCGCCAGAAGCCAUCCGGCUGACGGCACGCCUGCCUGGGCGUCACGCA